UACGUAGGGUGCAAGCGUUAAUCGGAAUUACUGGGCGUAAAGCGUGCGUAGGCGGCCAUGUAAGUCAGGAGUGAAAGUUUGCGGCUCAACCGUAAAAUUGCUUUUGAUACUGCAUGGCUGGAAUCAGGAUGAGGUCAGCGGAAUGUGGCAUGUAGCGGUGAAAUGCAUAGAUAUGCCAUAGAACACCAAUUGCGAAGGCAGCUGGCUAGACCUGUAUUGACGCUGAGGCACGAAAGCGUGGGGAGCGAACAGG
rnacentral:rRNA from 1 species